AGCGAACGCUGGCGGCAGGCCUAACACAUGCAAGUCGAACGAACCCUUCGGGGUUAGUGGCGGACGGGUGAGUAACACGUGGGAACGUGCCUUUAGGUUCGGAAUAACUCAGGGAAACUUGUGCUAAUACCGAAUGUGCCCUUCGGGGGAAAGAUUUAUCGCCUUUAGAGCGGCCCGCGUCUGAUUAGCUAGUUGGUGAGGUAAUGGCUCACCAAGGCUACGAUCAGUAGCUGGUCUGAGAGGAUGACCAGCCACACUGGGACUGAGACACGGCCCAGCCUCCUACGGGAGGCAGCAGUGGGGGAUCUUGCGCAAUGGGCGAAAGCCUGACGCAGCCAUGCCGCGUGAAUGAUGAAGGUCUUAGGAUUGUAAAAUUCUUUCACCGGGGACGAUAAUGACGGUACCCGGAGAAGAAGCCCCGGCUAACUUCGUGCCCGCCGCCGCAGUAAUAC
rnacentral:rRNA from 1 species